AAUAAGCACCGGCUAACUCUGUGCCAGCAGCCGCGGUAAUACAGAGGGUGCAAGCGUUAAUCGGAUUUACUGGGCGUAAAGCGCGCGUAGGUGGCCAAUUAAGUCAGAAUGUGAAAUCCCCGAGCUUAACUUAGGGAAUUGCAUUCGAUACUGGUUGGCUAGAGUAUGGGAGAGGAUGGUAGAAUUCCAGGUGUAGCGGUGAAAUGCGUAGAGAUCUGGAGGAAUACCGAUGGCGAAGGCAGCCAUCUGGCCUAAUACUGACACUGAGGUGCGAAAGCAUGGGGAGCAAACAGGAUUAGAUACCCUGGUAGUCCAUGCCGUAAACGAUGUCUACUAGCCGUUGGGGCCUUUGAGGCUUUAGUGGCGCAGCUAACGCGAUAAGUAGACCGCCUGGGGAGUACGGUCGCAAGACUAAAACUCAAAUGAAUNGACGGGGGCCCGCACAAGCGGUGGAGCAUGUGGUUUAAUUCGAUGC
rnacentral:rRNA from 1 species